AGGGCCUCCUCGCUCCCGGCUCUUCCGGGACGAGAAGGCAUUUGAAGGAGUGCGCUCAGCCCAGGGGAAAUCAGGCCCUCCCCACCACACACACACCUGAGGGAAGACAGCACGGAGGGGCGCUGCCAGGAAGGCAGGGGCGUCUGGGAGCAUCCUCCAGACCCGCAGACAGGCUGCCUCUGAGUCCUUCUCCCCUCCCGCCGGAGGCCACACGGGACGAGGAGUUUCAGCAGCUUUGACCCUGACCAUGGAAGAGAAAGCCUCCCCAUUCCUGGCAUGGUCCUGAAGUCAGAGUCUCAUGUGGGUCUCACGGUGCUCAGGACAGGUGUGGGCAGGGCUCCGCUUCCCCUGGAGGCUCCAAGAAAGAAUCCAUCUCCUGGCCUUUGCUGGCUUCCAGAGGCGCCCACGUGCCUUGGCACAUGGGCCCUUUUCCCACGUCCAAGCCAGCAGCUCAGCAUCUCCUGAUCUCUCUCUGACUCUGACCUCUUCCUUCCUCUCCUGACCCUUGUGAUGACGUUGGACCUUCGGGGGAAAUCGAGGACCAUCUCCCCUUCUCAAGAUUCUUAACUAAUCCCGUCUGCAAAGGCCCUUUUACCAUAGAAGGCAGCUAUUGGGACUUCCCUGGUGGCCCAGUGACUAAGACUCUGCACUCCCGGUGCAGGGGGCCCAGGUCCGAGUCCCUGGUCAGGGAACUAGAGCCCACAUGCCUCAUCUGAGCGUUCGCAUGCUACGACUGAAGAUCCCUCGUGAGGCAUCUAAGACACGGGGCAGCUGAAUACGUGAAAAAAAACAUUUAAGAAAACGGAGGAAGACGUUCACAGGUUCCGGGUAUCAGGACGUGACCAUCCUAGAGGGGCGUUACUGUGUCCCCACGGGGCUCGAGAGCGUGGCCACUGGAGCAGACAGGCUCCGGGGCCUCAGACAAGUCAUUUCACCUCUGCGUGCUUCAGUUUCCACAUCUGUAGAGAGAAGACAGUGACAGCCCUACCCCGUUAGGCCCACCGCUAUUUCCACAAGCCCUUCUGGCAGAUGCAGAGGGCUGUGGGCAGUGGCCAUGUUUCCAGAACCUUCCGUGGCCAUGGCCCAGGUAACUGGGGAGGGGCUGCUCACUGAGCUCACUGAGCUCGCUGCUCACUGAGCUCACCAUCCGUCUGUCCCUCGCCCCCUCCAAGGGCAGUUCCGGUGGCACCCACACACACACACUCGAAAGCCCCCCAGACACGCCUGGGAGGGGCCCCUGGGAGGGCAGGGAGGCCGGUGGUGGCGGCCGCCACAGCCACACACGGCUUUUUCCUGCAUUUAACCGGAUUACAGGACUUGAGCUUCCUUCCGUGUUAGGUCCUCCCAAGCCCCUGGGAAGUCACGGGCGCUGAGCCUACACUUGUUGGAUUGUGAGUCAUGCAUUGGCCGAGGGGUGGAGAAGAGAUGGAAUCAGAAUUUCGGCCCUGGCCCCCUCAAAGCCUUCAUUUUUCUGUGAACGUAUAGUGCAGAGGGUACUUAUUUCAGAACAAUAAAGGGAUCAUGACCUUGACAGCGAAUCCUUCCCCUUGGCUCGGAGGGAGCACAGCCAGCCC
ensembl:lncRNA